UGAGGAAUCUUGCACAAUGGGCGAAAGCCUGAUGCAGCGACGCCGCGUGGAGGAUGAAGGUUUUCGGAUUGUAAACUCCUGUUAAGUGGGAAGAAAAGUCUGUUCCUAAUAUGAGCAGAUUAUGACGGUACCAUUAGAGAAAGCACCGGCUAACUUCGUGCCAGCAGCCGCGGUAAUACGAGGGGUGCGAGCGUUAUUCGGAAUCAUUGGGCGUACAGGGCGCGUAGACGGCGUAUUAAGUCAACUGUUAAAUUUCCCGGCCUAACCGGGAGCCAGCAGUAGAUACUGAUAUGCUAGAGGAUGGAAGAGAGAAGUGGAAUUCUCGGAGUAGCGGUAAAAUGCGUAGAUCUCGAGAGGAACACCGAUGGCGAAGGCAGCUUCUUGGUCCAUACCUGACGUUGAGGCGCGAAAGCGUGGGGAGCAAACAGGAUUAGAUACCCCCGUAGUCC
rnacentral:rRNA from 1 species